UACGGAGGGGGCUAGCGUUGCUCGGAAUUACUGGGCGUAAAGGGCGCGUAGGCGGCUAGCUUAGUCAGAGGUGAAAGCCCAGGGCUCAACCUUGGAAUUGCCUUUGAUACUGGCUGUCUUGAGUUCGGGAGAGGUGAGUGGAAUGCCGAGUGUAGAGGUGAAAUUCGUAGAUAUUCGGCGGAACACCAGUGGCGAAGGCGACUCACUGGCCCGAUACUGACGCUGAGGCGCGAAAGCGUGGGGAGCAAACAGG
rnacentral:rRNA from 1 species